GACCUCAGUGGGCUGCAGUGUUACCAUACAAUACGAUAUUUGCUUCUCCUGAAGACUUAUACUGCCAUUAAUUCUUAUAAAGCACACAGGUACUCUGGUCCUGAAUUUAAUUUCCUCAGAAGCCCAAGGAAAAACUCAGCUUUAAAGCAGACAAGGAAACACCAGGAAGGCCUGUUGCUAGAAACAGGAAGCAUCUUCAUGAAGUAGGUCAGACAGCAUUCCAUGGACAUAAGCCUUUUUGAGAGGUUUAGGCAACGGUGUUACACAACAAGGGAACAUGGCUGAAAACUGAAUACUGCCUAUUAAUGAAAACCAUCUGAAAAGCUACUUUGAAGAAUGGAGUAGAGACUUUGCUAUGUUGCUGAUUCCUAAGAAUGAAGAAAUACAGCUCUUUAACUGGUCCUGAAUUUGCCUUAAACAAAAAUAGCUAUUAAAGCCAUGAGAAUAAAUUUCUGGUAUUAGCGGCCUGAGAUUCGUUA
ensembl:lncRNA